rnacentral:tRNA from 1 species
GGAGAGGUGGGUGAGCGGUUUAUACCGGCGGUCUUGAAAACCGUUGUACUAAUGUACCGGGGGUUCGAAUCCCUCCCUCUCCGCCA